CACAUAACUGGGCCGCCAUUACCACCGGCUGGGCUCUGCAUGCGUGCCAACCUGUGACCUCCCCGCCGGCGGCGGCGGCGGCGACUCCAGGCAGUGGCCUCGCCGUCCUCCUCUGCGGCUUCACCGGUGGCUCCCCUACUGUCCACGGCGGGGCACGGGCGGCUUCCCGGCCGGGACCCCGAUUCUCUCCGACGGCGCAAAUGGUGGCGCGGUGGCGCCGGCAAGUCGUCCUCUCCGCUCCGGCCGCCGGUGGUGCGGCUGAUUUCUUCGAUUAAUUUCUUUAGAGCUGAGACCCCAUGCAUUGCUGAUGUGGAAGGGUUCGGAAGAAAGAAAAGAAAACGGGAAAGCUUUGGGAUCGGACACUAACAAAUGUAAAUUAACCAUACAAAUGCAAGCAAGCCAAUCAGGGGACAUGGUCACCAAACAACUGGAGCCUAUUCAGUUUUGGAAGGUUUUUGAUGCCGGAGAGAGACUCUAUCCUGCUCAAGGUCCAGGUUAUCUUCUCCAUCUUAGGCACAGCUCCGUCAGUGAAGGUGAUUUUGUUUAUGGCAGGGCAGUCGACAGUAAGUAAGGUGAGCUUCAGGAACUCUUCUUUCUUGAAGGUAAGUUUGCUUUCAUUGUAAGAACUGUCCAAGAGGGAAAAUGUUUUAAACACUCGGGUGAACGUCCACCCGUUUCUUGCAUGUCAUCUAAAUGGUUAUAAAAAAUUUUCAAGUUUGGUUUUUUGGCAAGGACUUGCAGAUCAACUUGGUUCAGCAUUGUACUACGUGUUAAGAUAUUAGGGGUAGUUUAGUAUUUUCGCAUCUCUUUUGUACAUAUUUAUAUUUCCCCUUCAGGGGUAGAUCAAUGAACUGUGGAAAAUCCCCAAAUUCCUCUCCUAAAUUACAUGGUAUCAGAGCAAAGAUCCGAACCCUAGCUCAAUCCGGUGUCCUCACCGGCGCGUCGAUGGCGGCUCGCCGCCGGCGAGCCAUCACCUUGUCCUCACGUCCUUUUGGCUUUUCUUCAUCAAGCAGUCUCUUCUCAACGUCAUUGGCAAGCAGCUAAGCAGUCAGAUGCAGCAAGUGUCCAAAUCCAAGCAGCAGCAAGCAACCAUUACAAAGUCCAAAUCCAACAAGGCAGCACGAGAAGUAGCAGCCGCCGGCAGUAACUUACCUCAUCCUCAGCUCGUCGUAGUCCAUCCUCGUCUCUGCUGCCGGUCGACCCGUCGUCAUCACCUUCGCGCCGGUUGCUGUCAGAUCCGUGCUCGCCGUCGGUGAGCCAUCGUCGUCGUCUUCCGAUCUAGUCUGCUGUUGGUCGCCUCCCGCCGCUGGUCACGCCGGCACGCUGCCCAUCGCAAGCCGUCAUUCUCCGUCGUCAAUCGUGGGAGGCUGCCACUGGCCCCAUCGCCAGUCUGUGCCACUCCUCCCGCCGGCUUUUGUCCUUGUGCCCGCCGCCCGUCGCGGCGCCCCAUCCAGGCUGUCGUCGUGACAAUUUGUCCCCAUGUCUGCAUCUGCGUGUGUGGAUGUUCUGCUCAUGCUGCUGCACCGGACGAGGCCAUCUUCAAGCAGUAACCAUUUUUUGGACUUCCAUCGAGCUUGCUGCAGUAGUAUGCGUUGUCGUUCAGCAAAGCUAGCAGCAGACAUUCCGGUUUGUCUUUUGGUCUAUCAUAGUGUCAGAUCGAACCCUUCCCAUAUACUACCAUCACUUCUGCUUGCUGCAUUGAUGUGCUUAUUGCUGAUGCCUAUCCAUAUUCCAUAGUACAAUGUGAUAUCUCUGUUUGUUCAUCAAAUCCAUCCUUUUGAUUUUAGUCUGCCAAGUUGUGUCAUUAUAUCAUCUCUGUUGUGCUAUCAUCUUAGUCAGGUUUAUCAUCACAGUGCGACUUUUGCUAGGUGUCUGCUGUUACAAUAUUGUCUCUUUUUCAUCUGAAAUUCAUAGUGUCCAUCUACCAAAGUCCAUUGCAUAUCAUUCAAUUUGUCAAAGUUAUGCCAGUUCAUCUCUUCAUCGUCUUUUCUACACCACCAACUCCCUGUCAGAGUUGGCUUUCAUCAUCACCAGCUCCCCAUUGGAACUGGCCUUCAUUGUCACUUCAUCGUCUCCAUGUCGGAGCUUGUCAUCAUGAUCAUCAUCAAUCAGCGAAGGUCCGAAGAACAGUUUGUGAAGGGCCUUCAUCAACAUCAUCAUCAGUCAAAGGACCGAAGAACAGUUUGUGAAGUUCCAUUGUCAUCAUCAUCAUCAACCACAUUUCCAAAUCAAUAAAGAGCCGAAGAACGGUUCGUGAAGGCUUCAAGGUACCAAGGGCCGAAGAACAGUUUGUGAAGGCUCCGAGAUCCACUUCAUUGAGAAGGGGAUAUAUCUUUUCUUCAUCAUCAUCUAAGAAUUGGCACACUUUGACGACAUCAUCAAGACUUUAAAGAUAGGCUAAUAUUUAGUUUGUGUUCUCAUGUUUAGUUACACUCCAAAUGCAAUAUUAUUGUAUACACAUUGCAUUUGAGUGGGGGUGUUAAGAUAUUAGGGGUAGUUUAGUAUUUUCGCAUCUCUUUUGUACAUAUUUAUAUUUCCCCUUCAGGGGUAGAUCAAUGAACUGUGGAAAAUCCCCAAAUUCCUCUCCUAAA